UACGAAGGGGACUAGCGUUGUUCGGAUUUACUGGGCGUAAAGCGCGCGUAGGCGGAUCGCUAAGUCAGGGGUGAAAUCCCAGGGCUCAGCCCUGGAACUGCCUUUGAUACUGACGAUCUGGAGAUCGGGAGAGGUUGGUGGAAUUCCGAGUGUAGAGGUGAAAUUCGUAGAUAUUCGGAGGAACACCAGAAGCGAAGGCGGCCAACUGGCCCGAUACUGACGCUGAGGCGCGAAAGCGUGGGGAGCAAACAGG
rnacentral:rRNA from 1 species